UGUAAACCAACUGCAUAAACUUAUGCAACUAUUGCUGACUGGAUUAAUUCACUUUAGAGUAAAUGUGAACAACUGUUUUUAGAAUUGUUUCCCAUUUGAUAAAUACACUGGAAAUUUUACCCAAGAGACCAAAUGAAGCUUUACAUUCCAAAACUUUAAUGUCAAUUAAGCAGCCUUUUCACUUGAUAUAAACUCACAUACCCAGGAACACUGUGGGCUCAGAACAUUAUUUCACAAGCAGGUAUUGCUGGCACGUUGUUUGUGUCACGUUUAGAUUCCGAUUAAAUGACAUCAUUUUGUUCCUCAGAUCCUGACAUACACAAUGAAAGUAUUUGAAAGUUACAUAACCAGUUGCACUUAAUGAGUCAUCCUUUGUCAAUAUUAGAAUGAGGGAACCAGGAUAUGACUAGGAAGAGACUCAAGGGGUAAAAUCUGAAGAUUCUGUCCCAUACCUCUGCAGAAUCAUGGACCCCCACAGAGGACUUAGGGGAGGGGCUCAGAAGCAAAGGGCUGUUUUGAAAAUAGUUUGAUUUUGACACAAUGAUUUGCAGACAAGCCCAGCCACCGUGGAGAAAAGAUAGAGAAUGAAGAAGUUCCAAAUGGCUAAGAUGAACAUGAACUUCUAAACAGAAUGAAAGCUCUAGGAUUAUGUCCACUUUAAGAAGUCUGCUGGUGAUAUCUGGCUUUAGAGGCAGGUAAUGUCUUUUGACACCCUUUCUUCAAAGAAAGGGGUAAGGGAAAACAAGACCAAAAAAAAAAAAAAACACCUUCUCAGAUAUGUGGCAUAAAGAAUUUCUUAAUCCAGGACGUUAUUCCUCUACUAAAAUAAAAACUGACUAAACAAUUAGGACUUCUUACUGAAAAAUGUAGGCAAAGUGGUCAUCUAUCACAGUGCCCACCAGGAUGAAGUUUGUAGCAAAACUCAAGGCUACCACAAAGUAGUGCUACUGCAGCACAGACUGAACAAGGAGAUCCUAGAGUAAGAUACCAGAUUAGUGCUUAAACCCUCAAGAGAAAACCGUCAGUCUGGAUCAAGAGAAAAGUUCAUCCAAACAAACCUACUUUUCAGACAAGCACAUAUAUAUGAUCUAUGGCACAUACCAAAAUGAAGAAAAUAGCAGUUACAGUGGCCAAUGUAGAACACAUUCUUCAACUUACCUUUUUUUUUUUUUUCUGAGACAGAGUCUCGCUGUCACCCAGGCUGGAGUGCAGUGGCACAAUCUCAGCUCGCUGCAACCUCCACCUCCCGGGUUCAAGCGAU
rnacentral:lncRNA from 1 species